rnacentral:rRNA from 1 species
AGAGUUUGAUCCUGGCUCAGGAUGAACGCUAGCGGCAGGCUUAACACAUGCAAGUCGAGGGGCAGCAUAAUGGAUAGCAAUAUCUAUGGUGGCGACCGGCGCACGGGUGCGUAACGCGUAUGCAACCUACCUUUAACAGGGGGAUAACACUGAGAAAUUGGUACUAAUACCCCAUAAUAUCAUAGAAGGCAUCUUUUAUGGUUGAAAAUUCCGAUGGUUAGAGAUGGGCAUGCGUUGUAUUAGCUAGUUGGUGGGGUAACGGCUCACCAAGGCGACGAUACAUAGGGGGACUGAGAGGUUAACCCCCCACACUGGUACUGAGACACGGACCAGACUCCUACGGGAGGCAGCAGUGAGGAAUAUUGGUCAAUGGACGCAAGUCUGAACCAGCCAUGCCGCGUGCAGGAUGAAUGUGCUAUGCAUUGUAAACUGCUUUUGUACGAGGGUAAACCCAGAUACGCGUAUCUGCUUGAAAGUAUCGUACGAAUAAGGAUCGGCUAACUCCGUGCCAGCAGCCGCGGUAAUACGGAGGAUUCAAGCGUUAUCCGGAUUUAUUGGGUUUAAAGGGUGCGUAGGCGGUUUGAUAAGUUAGAGGUGAAAUUUCGGGGCUCAACCCUGAACGUGCCUCUAAUACUGUUGAGCUAGAGAGUAGUUGCGGUAGGCGGAAUGUAUGGUGUAGCGGUGAAAUGCUUAGAGAUCAUACAGAACACCGAUUGCGAAGGCAGCUUACCAAACUAUAUCUGACGUUGAGGCACGAAAGCGUGGGGAGCAAACAGGAUUAGAUACCCUGGUAGUCCACGCAGUAAACGAUGAUAACUCGUUGUCGGCGAUACACAGUCGGUGACUAAGCGAAAGCGAUAAGUUAUCCACCUGGGGAGUACGUUCGCAAGAAUGAAACUCAAAGGAAUUGACGGGGGCCCGCACAAGCGGAGGAACAUGUG